rnacentral:lncRNA from 1 species
GCCGCUCGCACCGACUGCGGCUCGCUGUGGUCCUCCUGGUGCACCUCCACGGAGAAGACGUUGGCGGCCUGCGGCACGUAGCUGCCGUUGGGGAAGGGCUGCAGCGUGGUCACCGAGAUGUAGUGGACGCCCUUGUCCGUGUCCAGGGGCAGCCCUUCCAGGGAGCUGCUCUCCGCAUUCCAGUGUAACCACGAAGGCAAAGACUCCUUCCCAGCUUCGGAGACCUGGACUGCUUCUCCAUUGGAAGCAAUUAAAUCUGUGGGGAUGGAGACUCUGAAGAAGCGGCCCACCACGGCGGAGCUGUCUGGUAU